rnacentral:lncRNA from 1 species
CCACGGGAUUUCAUGCAAAGUGCCUUAGACGACCAGAACUGCGAGCAGACACCCCUAGCACCCCGGAAGAUGGGCUAUGGUCUCCGGCCACCUCCUGCCCGUUUCUCAUUAAAGCUUGAGAAGGAGGAGGGUGGCUGUGUCCCAGGAGCUGGGUUGGCACCCUCAGUGAGGUUGUGGGGCUCUCGUGGAGAACACAAACCAUCCCUCAGGACAGCAGCAGCAGGCAAGACCCCAGAUGGUCCUGAUCAAGACAAAGACAAGCCACUCCAGCAUCCUGUCUGAAUACAGACAGAUGGGAGCAUCUCUCAGGCCAGGAGUGCCAGCCGUGUCCCCUCCCAGCCCACAUGGUGACUGCUGCUUUGGCCUUGGUGACAGCCUGUCCUGCCCUUGUCAGGCCUCCCGGGGGAUGAGGUUUAUGAAGCUUCCAGUGUAUACCUACCUCCUCCUGCUUCCUGACAGUGCUCAACUCAGAGCCAGCCCCCUCUCCC